UACGAAGGGGGCGAGCGUUGUCCGGAAUUACUGGGCGUAAAGAGUGUGUAGGCGGUGCUCUAAGUCUGUUGUGAAAUCUCCCGGCUUAACCGGGAGGGUGCGGCGGAAACUGGAGUGCUUGAGGGUGGGAGAGGUAAGCGGAAUCCUGGUGUAGCGGUGAAAUGCGUAGAUAUCAGGAGGAACACCGGUGGCGAAGGCGGAUCUCUGGGCCAUUACUG
rnacentral:rRNA from 1 species